GUCCUUGCCGUCGUACGUGGGGAAGUUCAGCCCCUCCUCCGCCCGGCAGGAGGACAGCAGGCAGACCCCCACCACAAACAGGUCAUGAUGACGAAACUGAGGUUAACAGAGUCCAGUCAUCUGCAUGUCACCCGCUGCAGCAACAGUGAACUAAUACCGAGGAAACCAGUGAAAGCCGCCUCCUAAAAUGGAGAAAAGCUGCCUGUCCCUGGAGCCAGCUGUUUUCUCUGUACGGAUACCUGCAUCUCCUCCGAGCCCCGUC